rnacentral:rRNA from 1 species
UACGGGGGGAGCAAGCGUUGUUCGGAUUUACUGGGCGGAAAGGGCGCGUAGGCGGCGCAACAAGUCACUUGUGAAAUCUCCGGGCUUAACCCGGAGCGGCCAAGUGAUACUGUCGUGCUAGAGUGCGGAAGGGGCUACUGGAAUUCUCGGUGUAGCGGUGAAAUGCGUAGAUAUCGAGAGGAACACCUGCGGCGAAGGCGGGUAGCUGGGCCGACACUGACGCUGAGGCGCGAAAGCCAGGGGAGCGAACGGG